rnacentral:rRNA from 1 species
GGGGACGGGGCAGAGCUACAAUGCUAGUCGAACGGUAACGGAAGCAGCUUGCUGCUUCGCUGACGAGUGGCGGACGGGUGAGUAAUGUCUGGGAAACUGCCUGAUGGAGGGGGAUAACUACUGGAAACGGUAGCUAAUACCGCAUAACGUCGCAAGACCAAAGAGGGGGACCUUCGGGCCUCUUGCCAUCGGAUGUGCCCAGAUGGGAUUAGCUUGUUGGUGGGGUAACGGCUCACCUAGGCGACGAUCCCUAGCUGGUCUGAGAGGAUGACCAGCCACACUGGAACUGAGACACGGUCCAGACUCCUACGGGAGGCAGCAGUGGGGAAUAUUGCACAAUGGGCGCAAGCCUGAUGCAGCCAUGCCGCGUGUAUGAAGAAGGCCUUCGGGGUUGUAAAGUACUUUCAGCGGGGAGGAAGGGAGUAAAGUUAAUACCUUUGCUCAUUGACGUUACCCGCAGAAGAAGCACCGGCUAACUCCGUGCCAGCAGCCGCGGUAAUACGGAGGGUGCAAGCGUUAAUCGGAAUUACUGGGCGUAAAGCGCACGCAGGCGGUUUGUUAAGUCAGAUGUGAAAUCCCCGGGCUCAACCUGGGAACUGCAUCUGAUACUGGCAAGCUUGAGUCUCGUAGAGGGGGGUAGAAUUCCAGGUGUAGCGGUGAAAUGCGUAGAGAUCUGGAGGAAUACCGGUGGCGAAGGCGGCCCCCUGGACGAAGACUGACGCUCAGGUGCUAAAGCGUGGGGAGCGGACAGGAUUAGAUACCCUGGUAGUCCACGCCGUUAACGAUGUCGACUUGGAGGUUGUGCCCUUGAGGCGUGGCUUCCGGAGCUAACGCGUUAAGUCUACCGCCUGGGGAGUACGGCCGCACGGUUAAAACUCAAAUGAAUUGACGGGGGCCCGCACAAGCGGUGGAGCAUGUGGUUUAAUUCGAUGCAACGCGAAGAACCUUACCUGGUCUUGACAUCCACAGAACUUUCCAGAGAUGGAUUGGUGCCUUCGGGAACUGUGAGACAGGUGCUGCAUGGCUGUCGUCAGCUCGUGUUGUGAAAUGUUGGGUUAAGUCCCGCAACGAGCGCAACCCUUAUCCUUUGUUGCCAGCGGUCCGGCCGGGAACUCAAAGGAGACUGCCAGUGAUAAACUGGAGGAAGGUGGGGAUGACGUCAAGUCAUCAUGGCCCUUACGACCAGGGCUACACACGUGCUACAAUGGCGCAUACAAAGAGAAGCGACCUCGCGAGAGCAAGCGGACCUCAUAAAGUGCGUCGUAGUCCGGAUUGGAGUCUGCAACUCGACUCCAUGAAGUCGGAAUCGCUAGUAAUCGUGGAUCAGAAUGCCACGGUGAAUACGUUCCCGGGCCUUGUACACACCGCCCGUCACACCAUGGGAGUGGGUUGCAAAAGAAGUAGGUAGCUUAACCUUCGGGAGGGCGCUCACCACUCUGUGUUCUAGGUCGGG